UACGGGGGGGGCAAGCGUUGUUCGGAAUUACUGGGCGUAAAGGGCUCGUAGGUGGCCAACUAAGUCAGACGUGAAAUCCCUCGGCUUAACCGGGGAACUGCGUCUGAUACUGGAUGGCUUGAGUUUGGGAGAGGGAUGCGGAAUUCCAGGUGUAGCGGUGAAAUGCGUGGAUAUCUGGAGGAACACCGGUGGCGAAGGCGGCAUCCUGGACCAACACUGACACUGAGGAGCGAAAGCCAGGGGAGCAAACGGG
rnacentral:rRNA from 1 species